rnacentral:rRNA from 1 species
ACUCCUACGGGAGGCAGCAGUGGGGAAUUUUGGACAAUGGGCGAAAGCCUGAUCCAGCAAUGCCGCGUGAGUGAAGAAGGCCUUCGGGUUGUAAAGCUCUUUUGUCAGGGAAGAAACGGUGAGAGCUAAUAUCUUUUGCUAAUGACGGUACCUGAAGAAUAAGCACCGGCUAACUACGUGCCAGCAGCCGCGGUAAUACGUAGGGUGCAAGCGUUAAUCGGAAUUACUGGGCGUAAAGCGUGCGCAGGCGGUUUUGUAAGUCUGAUGUGAAAUCCCCGGGCUCAACCUGGGAAUUGCAUUGGAGACUGCAAGGCUAGAAUCUGGCAGAGGGGGGUAGAAUUCCACGUGUAGCAGUGAAAUGCGUAGAUAUGUGGAGGAACACCAAUGGCGAAGGCAGCCCCCUGGGUCAAGAUUGACGCUCAUGCACGAAAGCGUGGGGAGCAAACAGGAUUAGAAACCCCUGUAGUCCCAUG